GAAAAGAAACUAACAAGGAUUCCCCUAGUAACGGCGAGUGAAGCGGGAAGAGCUCAAAUUUGAAAUCUGGUAGCCUUCGGUUGCCCGAGUUGUAAUCUAGAGAAAUGUUUUCCGUGCCGGCCCAUGUACAAGUCCCUUGGAACAGGGCGUCAUAGAGGGUGAGAAUCCCGUCCUUGACAUGGACCCCCGGUGCUUUGUGAUACAUUUUCAACGAGUCGAGUUGUUUGGGAAUGCAGCUCAAAAUGGGUGGUGAAUUCCAUCUAAAGCUAAAUAUUGGCGAGAGACCGAUAGCGAACAAGUACCGUGAGGGAAAGAUGAAAAGCACUUUGGAAAGAGAGUUAAACAGUACGUGAAAUUGUUGAAAGGGAAACGAUUGAAGUCAGUCAUGCUCUUUGGUAUUUAUAUCAUUGAGUGGGGUCAACAUCAGUUUUGAUCGAUGGAUAAAGGCACUAGGAAUGUAGCACUCUCGGGUGAACUUAUAGCCUAGCGUCAUAUACAUUGAUUGGGACUGAGGAACGCAGCAUGCCUUUAUGGCCGGGAUUCGUCCACGUACA
rnacentral:rRNA from 1 species